rnacentral:tRNA from 1 species
GCGCACGUAGUUUAGUGGUAGAAUGAGCGCUUCCCAAGCACUUAGCCGGAGUUCGAUUCUCCGCGUGCGCA